GAUGAACGCUGGCGGCGUGCCUAAUACAUGCAAGUCGAGCGGUAAGGCCACUUCGGUGGUACACGAGCGGCGGACGGCUGAGUAACACGUAGGAACAUACCCCAAACUGAGGGAUAACUGCCCGAAAGGGUAGCUAAUACCGCAUGUGCUCUUCGGAGUAAAGCUACGGCGGUUUGGGAAUGGCCUGCGUCCGAUUAGCUAGUUGGUGAGGUAAUUGCUCACCAAGGCGACGAUCGGUAGCUGGUCUGAGAGGAUGAUCAGCCAGACUGGGACUGAGAACGGCCCAGACUCCUACGGGAGGCAGCAGUAGGGAAUUUUCCACAAUGGACGAAAGUCUGAUGGAGCAACGCCGCGUGCAGGAUGAAGGCUUUCGGGUCGUAAACUGCUUUUAUCUGUGAAGAUUAUGACGGUAGCAGAUGAAUAAGGAUCGGCUAACUCCGUGCCAGCCGCCGCGGUAA
rnacentral:rRNA from 1 species